AAGUAUACCUNUAAAAGGUAAAGUAUACAGAUAUGACUUACACCCAUUUACGUCAGGWCAAAGUGCAGCCGAUGAAAGGGAGAUGAUGGGUUACACCCUAAAUAAAGAUACAAAUUAGAGCAUUAAAAGCUCUCUGAAGGUGGACUUGGAUGUAAUAUCAAUACAAAAUUAUAAUGAAAAUGAAUCUAAGACAUGCACACAUCGCCCGUCACUCUCGCCCAAAGGCG
rnacentral:rRNA from 1 species